AGGUCAAGCUACAAAGGGCGCAUGGUGAAUGCCUUGGCACUAGGAGCCGAAGAAGGACGCGAUAAGCUGCGAUAAGCUUUGGGUAGGCGCAAAUAGCCAGUGAUCCA
rnacentral:rRNA from 1 species